AUGAACGCUGGCGGCGUGCCUAAUACAUGCAAGUCGAACGCUUCACUUCGGUGAAGAGUGGCGAACGGGUGAGUAAUACAUAAGUAACCUGGCAUCUACAGGGGGAUAACUGAUGGAAACGUCAGCUAAGACCGCAUAGGUGUAGAGAUCGCAUGAACUCUAUAUGAAAAGUGCUACGGGACUGGUAGAUGAUGGACUUAUGGCGCAUUAGCUAGUUGGUAGGGUAACGGCCUACCAAGGCGACGAUGCGUAGCCGACCUGAGAGGGUGACCGGCCACACUGGGACUGAGACACGGCCCAGACUCCUACGGGAGGCAGCAGUAGGGAAUUUUCGGCAAUGGGGGAAACCCUGACCGAGCAACGCCGCGUGAAGGAAGAAGUAAUUCGUUAUGUAAACUUCUGUCAUAGAGGAAGAACGGUGGAUAUAGGGAAUGAUAUCCAAGUGACGGUACUCUAUAAGAAAGCCACGGCUAACUACGUGCCAGCAGCCGCGGUAAUACGUAGGUGGCGAGCGUUAUCCGGAAUUAUUGGGCGUAAAGAGGGAGCAGGCGGCACUAAGGGUCUGUGGUGAAAGAUCGAAGCUUAACUUCGGUAAGCCAUGGAAACCGUAGAGCUAGAGUGUGUGAGAGGAUCGUGGAAUUCCAUGUGUAGCGGUGAAAUGCGUAGAUAUAUGGAGGAACACCAGUGGCGAAGGCGACGAUCUGGCGCAUAACUGACGCUCAGUCCCGAAAGCGUGGGGAGCAAAUAGGAUUAGAUACCCUAGUAGUCCACGCCGUAAACGAUGAGUACUAAGUGUUGGGAGUCAAAUCUCAGUGCUGCAGUUAACGCAAUAAGUACUCCGCCUGAGUAGUACGUUCGCAAGAAUGAAACUCAAAGGAAUUGACGGGGGCCCGCACAAGCGGUGGAGCAUGUGGUUUAAUUCGAAGCAACGCGAAGAACCUUACCAAGCCUUGACAUCCCAUUGACAGAGCAUGUAAUGUGCUUUCCCUUCGGGGCAGUGGUGACAGGUGGUGCAUGGUUGUCGUCAGCUCGUGUCGUGAGAUGUUGGGUUAAGUCCCGCAACGAGCGCAACCCCUGUUGCCAGUUGCCAGCAUUAAGUUGGGGACUCUGGCGAGACUGCCGGUGACAAGCCGGAGGAAGGCGGGGAUGACGUCAAAUCAUCAUGCCCCUUAUGACCUGGGCUACACACGUGCUACAAUGGACAGAGCAGAGGGAAGCGAAGCCGCGAGGUGGAGCGAAACCCAUAAAACUGUUCUCAGUUCGGACUGCAGUCUGCAACUCGACUGCACGAAGAUGGAAUCGCUAGUAAUCGCGAAUCAGCAUGUCGCGGUGAAUACGUUCUCGGGCCUUGUACACACCGCCCGUCACACCAUGAGAGUCGGUAACACCCGAAGCCGGUGGCCUAACCGCAAGGAAGGAGCUGUCUAAGGUGGGACUGAUGAUUGGGGUG
rnacentral:rRNA from 1 species